GAUGAACGCUGGCGGCGUGCUUAACACAUGCAAGUCGAACGGAAAGGCCCUGCUUGCAGGGUACUCGAGUGGCGAACGGGUGAGUAACACGUGGGUGAUCUGCCCUGCACUUCGGGAUAAGCCUGGGAAACUGGGUCUAAUACCGGAUAGGAGCCAUUCUUAGUGUGAUGGUUGGAAAGUUUUUUCGGUGUAGGAUGAGCUCGCGGCCUAUCAGCUUGUUGGUGGGGUAAUGGCCUACCAAGGCGGCGACGGGUAGCCGGCCUGAGAGGGUGGACGGCCACAUUGGGACUGGGAUACGGCCCAGACUCCUACGGGAGGCAGCAGUGGGGAAUAUUGCACAAUGGGCGCAAGCCUGAUGCAGCGACGCCGCGUGGGGGAUGACGGCCUUCGGGUUGUAAACUCCUUUCGCUAGGGACGAAGCUUUUUGUGACGGUACCUAGAUAAGAAGCACCGGCUAACUACGUG
rnacentral:rRNA from 1 species